CCGCCGGGACGCGCCGCCUCAGUGGCGCCCGGAGCCGCCUUGGCCGCCGGGACCGCCGGGAAAGGGCCGCCCCCUCCCCGGCCCCGCGCGGCCCUCGGCGCUCUCCCGUCCCUCGGCGGGGCCCGUCGGCCGAGCAGCAAAACCCAGCGCUGCUGAGGGGAAACCGCGCUCAGGCUGAGGUACUGAAUCCUCUCAACAUUACUAACCCUGCAAAGGAUAUCUAGUUGUUGUCCUACUCAGCUUCCUGACUCAGCUUUUGGCAUAACGGAGCAAGUGAGACUGUGUCAGACUUGAUUUAAAGUCGUUUAAGCUGUUGUCAAACUGCUUUCAAAACUGCUAAUUUUCAGCCAGUUGCCUGGUCCAGCUCCCGCUGAGGAACCUGCAACACUGGUUAAAAGCUCAUGGCCACUGAAGUAUAACUGUAAUGGAUGUGAGAAGUUUUGCCUCUUUAUAUCAUAAGAUAUAUGUCUCCCCUAUUUUUUUUUUACCAAUAGACAAAGCAAUUCCGCUUCCUUUCAAUCCUUCCUGGUGUGGCACAGUUUUAAACCUCUUAAGAUGCUUAUGUCUUCUCCUUGUGUUGUCUCAAAAUCAUUCACAUCUUUUUUUUUUCUUAACUGUAGCACCCAAGACUGGAUAUUACUAAAAUUAAGGCCUCAACAAUGCCAGCAUCUGCUGUCCUGCCCGUCACAGACCCCAUUCCUGUUUACACAUGCCAAUACAAGUGCUUUUGAGUCAGCCUGAUUUAUUCACAAUCUUGCUGACCUGUUUUACCCCCGCAUCCAUUUCUGCUGACCUCCCAAGCCAGGUAUUUCUCUCUCAAGUAGACAGUAAUGCUGCUUGAGAAAUUAUUUCCUGCAACAGCCCUAAUGCUGUGCCUUCAUUUUUAUUUUAUAAUCAAGCAGUCAGGACAUCUUUUAAAAUGAAAUUCCACAUGAUGUUAAGUCAGAGAACUGUAGAAUUUGUCAUCCUCUGUAAAUUGAUUGCACUUCUCAGAAGGAUUGUAUUUUAAAAAGCAAAACAAAGAUUGAACUGUGCCACAAUUACAGAAGGGUUGUGUAACUCUAAAUUUAGAAGAGCAAUUUGUACGUAUUUGUAGACAUUUAAAACUUCAAAUUUUCUUCAACUAAACCAGCUAAAAUAACCCAAAUGCAAACAAGGGUGGAUUACAAAGAAUGUGGGUUGGAAUUAUACCAAUAUAAGGUAAAAUAUGGCAAAACCAGUGCAACUGUUCUUUCUAUCCCAUUAUUGAGGGACAGAACGUGUAUUUGUAUGUGUUUUGUUGUUCCAUGUGCUUAAUUCUGACAGCUCAGAAUUCCUCAGUUCUGCUCACUGUCCUGUGUGCUGCUUUUGAUGUGAGCAGUGCAAUGAGCAGCUCAUAAAGCUACUGGCAGCAUGACCUGCAGAAGGGAGGUUCUAGCACAGCCUGAUGGCUACACUGGCACUUGAGGUGCAGUUGAGCAAGUCAUUUUACAUGAUUGUACUUCAGUUUUCCUAGUAUGAGAUUAAUCCAUCUUUGUAAAACAUCAAAUAUCUAAAACUGAAGCCUGUGAUGUGGGUAUCUAUUAAAAUAACUGCCAUAGAAGGGAUAAAAAUCAACAGUGCUGCCCAAGACCACUGUCCAGUGCACACAGAUGGUUUUACUCUUCAUUCUGACUUUGUAUAAUAGCUACAGAAUUAGUUCUUCAGUACAGCUGAAGAAGCUGGUAAAUAAUGCAUUCAGCUAAUUCAUUUCUUAGAUGGUCAUCCUGUAGUCUGGUUGGUCCAUUUUGGCUGUGUAAAGCAUUUUUAUGAUCUGUUUUAUAUCAGGUGAUGUUUGGACAGUAGCAAUUCAAGAAAAAAAAAUUACAGGCUUUAUCAGGGAAUAAACAGAAAUCUUACCUUUUCUUUGUCACGUGGCCAUCAGAUUUUACGCUGUGGGCUUCCCAUUUAUUUCCUGGCCGCUUUCUUUUUUCUACUUUAAUCUGUGAUGCCCUCAUCUGUGAUGAGAUUUCAGAGCACAACAUAAGAUAUGCUGAUGUUUCAAAGGGGGUGCUGUUACUUGGCCUUCUCCUAUUCUCUAUUUAGCCUGUAUUUUGAAAAAAAAAUUGCUGCUUUGAAAAUGGUUUUGUGACUCCCAAGCAGAGAUGGAGAAGAACUGAGUACUGCAGGUGUUUUACAUAGAUGUGUAUCUGUAUAUGUUUAUGUAUAUGUUUGUAUAAAUACAUGUAAUACCGAUUUGCAAGAAUAAAAAUUAACUUUCCUCAGAUAAAAGUUCACAUGACCAACAUCUCCCAUACAAGUGUGUGGGUAUAUAUAUGAAAAUAUGUGCACAUUCAGUACCUGCAGCCCUUCCUGGAGCAAUAAUAAAUCCUUUUGAUCCGUGUUUUUCCACUGCUAUCAAAGGUACAAGACAAACCUAUUCUUUUUAAAACUUACACUGCCUCGCUCUCCUACAAAAGGGUUUUUUUAAAAAUACCUGGAAAGGAAUUUUCAGGGCCAGCUCCUCACCAGUUCAGCUCUGCUUUUUAGCGCUCAGACAGUUGGAACAUCAGACAAGAGCCCUCCAGAACAGAGAUUUUUGUACCAGUGACUCAGAUUUGUGCCACUUCACGUUUUUUUGUGUGUCUAGAGUUCCACUAUGGACCAUCUGUUAUGGCCACUGAGGCAAGAAUACAGAAGCUCUCAUCCACAUUGGCAUUCUGCUCUUUGCAGAGCAGCUUAUCAAACAGGAUUGCUGCAGAGAUCCCACUGUGGAAGUCCUGCUGUAUUGACUGAUAAACAUAAAUGGAUCUAGCUGGAGCUUGUUUCACCAGGCACAUGUGACAUGUAUUUGUCUACAGGAAGGGUCACAUAAUGCUCCAUAAAGAAUCUCCUAUAUGUCAAAAGGAGCAUUAUCAGGGUACCAUGGGAUUAGUCUAGAUAUUCCCUGUUCCAAUACUAGGAAGCAAGGAAAGAUUUGAUCUCCCCAGAGAACUAAUUAUUCAGACCAUCAGGAAAAAGACCAGCCAGAGAAAGUGCUAUGGAGGAAGUAGCAGAGCUGUUUGAAAAGGCAAAUCAGCAUCUGAACAAGGCUUUUCUGAUACAUCUUUUAACAAAAAUGAACACUGUGGAACACAGCAUCAAAGUAACUGUCCUGCUCCAUCACUGAGAUUGAAAGGGCACAAUCUGAGACUUUUUUGUUUAUUUUUUAAUCCAAUUCACGUGUAACAAGAAGGCAUUCUGCUUAAGUCUGCUCACCCUGCUGUUAACUCCUGAUUCGUGUUUUUGGUUCUGAGGAGGAGUGGUGUGGCUUUUAGGCAGUGUUUGCAAUUGCCAUACCAAGUUUCUCUAAUAAUAAGCAAGUGCUUGUUACAGUUUCCUCCUGCUCCUCCUCCUAUCUGCUGUGCCAUGGCACUGUCAGCGCCCUCAGGAACUGAAUUCCUGGUGCGUGUGGGGUAAGCAUUUUAGGGUCAUAGACACAACUACCAGAGUGAGAACUAAUUCUUCCUCUCUGUUUAUAGACACUGCGUCAUUUGAGGUCUGUUUCUGUAGUCAACAUGGCAAGAUAAGUAGGAGCUUGCUCGCCUUGGCAGCUGGCUAGCUGCCUCCUCCAGCACAACUCUGCUCUCACUUAUUCCCCAAUUCAUGGGUUUGUUCCUGCUUUGUUCCCCUCCCCCAGUAUCUUAACUUGCCUCCAGGCCCUGGGCACUCCUUGAAGCCAAGUUUUCUGAAUUUUUUUGUUCACUUUCCUUCACUGCCUGUUUACCUCUUACCUUCCUCAGGCUUUGCACUCCACUGCUGGGCCAACUCCCCUCCCCAACUGUCCCCGCAAACCCCAACUGUCACCUACAACUGCCCCAGAAGGUUCUGGUGCUGCCCCUUCUCCCAGGGCAGUACCCACUGGCACCUGAAACUGCCUGGAAACAGCCACGUGUGUUACAUGGCCCCUGUGCACUGGGGGAUGUUGGAGUCUCAGGUGAAACCAGCUUGGCUUGUGCUCUUUGCUGUGUGAUCAAGUGUCCUUCAAGUAUCCGAAGGGAGCCUCCAAGAACGAUGGAGAGAGACUUUUUGAAGAGCAGAUACUGGCAGGACAAGGGGGAAUGGCUUCAGACUGAAAGAGAAUAGUUUAGAUUAUGUAUUGCAAAAAAAAUUCUUUACUAUGAGGAUGUUGGCACAGGUUGCCUAGAGCAGCUUGGCUGCCCCAUCCCUGGCAGUGUUCAAGGCCAGGUUGGAUGGGGCUUGGAGCAACCUGGUGUGGUGGAAAUUGUCUCUGCCCGUGGCAUUGGGUUGGAAUGAGAUGGUCUUUCAGGUCUCUCUUACACCAAACCAUUCCUUGAUUCUGUCUCCUGCACUUAAUGUGUGUACAAACCAGUAUAUACACUGCCACAAAACCAUCCUCUUCAGGUGAGCACCUUCUAUUGUGGCCCAGCUUCCUACUUACAGCAUCACUCUGGAAAGAACAAAUGAGUAAAAUACCUCUGUGUGUGUGGUGCAGGUGCCCAGAAAGUGUGUGAACUGUAGCACUUCCCAAUCUCCACUGAAGCAUCACCAGCUCCCUCCCAAGCUCAGUGCAUCUCUCAUGAUCAUAGCAGCAGUUGAUAAAACUCUUGGAUUUUUCCACAAAUGCAGAGAUCCUGAGGAUGGAGUAGGCUGAGACAGAGGUAUCCUGUUCUCUUUGUUGUAAAAGAGAACAGGCAAGUAUUCAUAUUGUAUUUUUUCAACCUGCUUUAUCUUGUGGUACAGCUUUAACCUAUUGGAUACUUUUUAAAUUUUCAAAUUACGGCAAAUGGAAGUGUUCUCUAGUCAAUGGCUCAGCUCAGCACUGUAAAGAAUGCUGAAUAUCAGAGGGGGUCUAGCAGCACUUAAGUUUAAACUACAAACUUUCCAAAUUUUGCAGUAGGGAUGAAUGGAUAUCUAGGAAUACUGCCAAAAUGGGCAGGAUAGAAAAAGAAAUAGGACCAUUUUCUAGAGUCUUUCAAGAUCUACUGUCAGGUAAACAAAUAGAAUAAUUUUGCCACUGAGAAAAUUAUAUGAAUUAGGAGGUUGUAGUUCUGUCAUGACCCUGUACAGGAAUUUCAGAUACCCUAUACAUGACCAGUAAGAAAGGACUUUGUGUGAGACAGGAACUGGAGUUGGGAUCCAAAAGCUAUAAAUCUUAGAAAAAGGCAGAAAUGCAUUAGAUUGAGAUGGAAAAUAGCGAAGAAAUGCCUAAAUAAUCUCAUGACUAAGCAGACCACACAAAAAUAGAUAACUGGAACAAGAACAAAACUGGUGCUCUUCUGUGCAAGCACUGGAAGUUUAAAAACUCGAAGAGAUGAGGACACCUCACUUUAAAGGAGCACUCUGAUAGGACUGAUUUUUAGGAAACACUGAGAAGAAAUGUCAUUAAAGCCUCCCCCAUACUUGAUGGCCUAAAGAGUUGAGGAUGCCAAAGUUAGGAAAAGAACAGCAAAUAAACAGAAAAUAUACCACUGUACAAAUCCAUUGUGCAUCCUUCCUUAUCUCCAACUCUGUGUAAUGUAGAGAAAGCCAAGAAAUAAAAUGGCUUGGGACAAUUCCCACAGAAGGGGAGGAUUCACACACUGGUGAUCUUGAUCUCAGAAUUAAAAAAGCUCCAUUCCAAAUUUGAGAGAGGUUUUUCAGGGUCUUCAGUGGAAGGGAGACAGGUGAAUGAGUGAGUUAUUUAUCAAAACUGCUUUUUAUUUUUUGUUCCUGUGUUAUCUGGCAAGGUGGAAUAUUGCAAGCUUCCACAUCUGUUAGGGAGGCAAAAGGUUUGAAAUGGUUCAAUAAAGCAAAAUUUAAAAAACAGACGCUCAAGGGCACUGAGGAGAUUAAACUGUCCUCAUGUUUAAUGGGCUGCCUUAAUUGCAACAUACAUGACACAUGCAACAUAUUAAUGAGUGGAGAAGCCUAUCUAAGUACUAAAUAAAAAUGCACCACUAUCAGCUUUAAAAGUCUGCUCUGUAGAGAAGUCUAGAGACCAGACUUAGGGUAAGAUAGCUCAGUAAAUACAGAAGAAUUGGAACCAAUAAAAAAAUCUGUGAUGUGGUAAUAUUUGGCAUACUGUUAUUAUUGAGUGGCUUCUUUGACAUGCUGUACAGUCCCCACACUUGGGGAAUUUUCAACAUUAUCCAAUGUCAGGUGGGACCUCGAAGAAUUUAUAGCAAGACUCAAUAGCCAAGACUUGAGUGAGAGCUGAUCAAAAACAGAGCUGAGAUUUCCCUUUCUCAACUAAGCAAGAAGUUAAAACCACAAUUUGCUAGGGCACCAAGUGGCACCAGAGGACACCUCUGGAAAAUUUGUCUUAAGCUAUAUUUAGUACAUCCAAAGAAAUUGUAGCUCCCACUUGAGCUAUUUCAGCUCAAAUACAAAUAAAUAAAGAAAUAUUUUAGAGAGCUGUGUGCUUCUGAGUCAGAUUUAGUUCUAAUAUGUGCCUUUCUAGGUGAACUCCUGCCUUGGAGCAGAUUAAUUUCUAACUGCAAUUCUGUAGGUGCGAAUCUCUACUUCCUGUGUUAAAGUCCAUCAAAAAUAGGCACUGAAAUUCUGAUAUUGAAAGCUUUUAGUGAAAUGGCUAAUGACAGCCCUUCAGACAAGCACUUCUCAGCAAGUUUGUUUUAGAAUAAUUAUAGUUUCUUGCAAUUACUGGCAAUUUUAAUGAUAGGCUGUUGAGACAGUUUUUUAGUUCCAUAAUCUUUGUAAAGUCUUUUGUUCCUGAAAUUUUAUCACCAUCUUGAUGCACGAGUGUGAGAUACUCCAGGGAAAUGCUGUUCAAUGCCUGCUUGAAUACAAUUUUAAAAUGUAAUUUUUUGUCUUUUCUCUGAUUUAUACCCAGGUCAAAUUCAUAUUAUGAUCUUGGGUUCCUUCUUGAAAACUCACUGCAUCUUCAUUUAAGAUCUUAAAGUAUUAUGUAAGUCACAUCCUGGGAGAUGUGAAAAUAGAUUUUUUUCAUCUUCUUCAUAAAGCAUCCUUUCUUUCCUCCAAAGUACACUCAUUUUCAUCCAGAAUUUUAUUCCAUGACAUUCAAACUGUUCUGAUAGCUCAAAUGUAAUUCUACCCCCACUGAAAUCCACCUCAGGCCUUCUCCCAGUGUGAUCCAACAAUUUUUCUUUGGGAUGUUACAGAAGUUGCACACUACCAUUCUGAUACACAACAGUGAAUACACUCAGGAGACUUUUUUCAGAAUUCCUGGUAGCAUUGCAACUCAGCAAACUGGUUUGAUACAUCUGUGUAAGCAAUUUAACUUGUCCCCUGUUCCCUCAGUGCUUUCCUUUUGACAAAUUGACUGAAUUCUGACAAAUACACUCACCAAAGCUUUCAUACAGUGCCUGUCAUCCCAUUCAAAUGGUUUCUUCACAAAAAAAUACCAGUAGUGUCAGUCCUGCUGGUGAUCAUCUACAGGACAUUUCAACCUCAAUGCCAUGUAUGCAAAAUGUUUUAUUUUAUUUUUGUUGCAAAAAUAUUUGCCACCUGUAAUAUUUUCCUCUUAUUCAAGCCAUUAGACAGAAAAAUAAGCAAGGUUGUCUGCUUUCAACAGAGAUUUACAAAAAUCCUGAUUACCUCCUGGGGAAAAAGACAUCUGCAGAGAAAAGUGGGGCAUCCAUUGUUGCUGCAUGUUUAAUUUUAUUUGAUUUACUAUACUUAACUUUUUCCCUUGUUGGCAAGAACAGCCUUAGCUGCUGCUCAUGCUGUUUGCCAGCACCUCCAUCUGCAUCUUUGGUUACUCCUAGGGUUGGUUCUCCUGCAUUUGCAGAAUGCUGCUUGCAUGCUCUGCUCCCCUGGGAAUGUUUCCCCUUUGUGGCUAACAUUCACAGCAGCGUGGAGUUACUCUCCUUGUGGAUGACAUUUUCCUGCAGCUGCAGACACCUGAGCCCAGCUCCCUCUGAGCCUCCUACGUGGCCUUGGUGAUCACUGCCAGUGAUAAGGGAAUGCCUCUGUCUCCUCUUCAGAAGUCUUGGAUUGGUGCUGCGAAUCCACACCCACAUUUCAGUUCUGUCAGUAAUCCCAAAUCCCCUGUGGGAGAGUUUAUCUGAAUUAAUCUCAUCGUGUAAUUUUGCCAUGUAGGUUUAUUUUGUAACUGGACCAUUCCUUAUCUUACCUUUUGUAGAUUAUUUUUCCUCGUGGGAGUGGUUUCCAUAAAACACCUCAGAAAGCAUUUAAUUCAGUCUCAGAGUUAGUGCUGCAUUUGCUUGGAAUUUCUGUCUGGCCUGUUUUCUGCUGACCUUUACUUAAGUAAUUAUGUAUAUGCAUGUGUGCAUGUGUAUUUGUAAUGCUUUCUGUCUUGCUCAAGUUUUAUUUUACCCCAUAAGGCAAGCUUUCCUCUGGAGUUUGAUGUCCCAGUUGUUUUAUUAGGAUUGUGACAAGUCUGCUCACACGAGGCACAUCCACAGCACAUCUGAAUGAAAGCAAACAUCCUGUGUUCCUCAGCCUUCUCUAAACCCCAGCAGAUGGCUGCUGCUUUGGCAAACUGUGAGCAAUAGGAUGGAUCACAUUUCCCAUGCAGCAGACUUAUUUCUGGAAUCCAAACCCAGUAAACUUCCAGAAGGUGGGAACGUGGAUCCAGCCACAAAGCAGUUUAGCCCAAAUCAGUCCUGCAUGGUGAUUCUCCAUAGCUCAGCCCCUCUUGCUGUUUGGGAUGAUGUACAGCAGGCUGAGCCAGCCAAAGUUGCAGAUGGACUGGUAACAGCUUCCACGUGCAAAUCUUUAAACACCAAGCCUGAAAGUCCUUUGUGCAUUUGUUAGAAUCUGUGUAUGUUUAUUUUUUCUCUCUGUGAUUAAGUAUCUUGUGGAGAUAAAUGGUGCUUUUUUGGAAUGACUGGGUUUCCUUGAUGCUCAGAGCCAGUUCCUGCUCAGGAUGCUGGCAGGAUCUGCAGGAGGUGGUGUGUAUUUUCUCUACCUCAGGUAACACUCAGGGGACACAGACAAAUGUCCUUACCCUGGUUCCCUGCAGCAGCAGUGCCCUGACAUGUCUGUGCUUAACCCCAGCUCUGGAAUCAGUAUCCAGGUGAAUUAGCAGCAAUCACAGCAUCAUGGAAUGGUUUGGGCUGGAAGAGACCUCAAUCAUCUCAUUCCACCCCCUGCUGUGGACAGGGGCACCUUUCAUGUUGCUCCAAGGAUCAUCAAACCUGGCCCUGACCAGGGAUGGGGUAUCCACAACUUCUCUGGGCAGCUUUUCUCAGCUUGAAACUUCACCCUGCAUGUGUGUGGUGUGCUCAGGGACCCAUUCCCACUCAUUUUUUCUCCCAGAAGGAGGCAACAGAGGGGUUAUUUGGACUGCAAGUCCAGUCAAAUAGCCUCUGCCAGGUCUGUUGAGAACAUUGUGUCCUGAGGAAAGGGCAGUUUGGGAAGUGGCUUCAUCUGUUCUUGCUUAAAACUUUUCUCCACUGAGCAGGCUCAGUCUCAACCAUUUGUGCCCACUUUCCUUCUCAUGUUGGAGUAUUUAGCAUCAAAGAAGGCUUUUCAAAGAACACCUGCAUUCUUCUACAACUUGUGCACUGAUUUCUUUGCAUGGUUGAUCUUCAAUCGGCUACACAUCUGUUCUGUUGCAUUCAGAGGCCCUAAAAAUGAUGCCAUUUGUUUAGAAUCAUAGAAUCAUCAGGGCUGGAAAAUACCUCCAAAAUCAUCAAAUCCAGGAAGUAAUUCUAAAGAAUUACAAAAUUUCUGAUGUUUCUCCUCCAAAUGUACUGAUUAUAAAAAUGUCUGUGUGCAAGAUAGGCUAGCAUUAACAAUCCUUCAUCAUACAGAAGCUCUCUGGUCAUGCAAACCCAAUUCACAAUUGAUGUAUAUCACAGGACAUUUUCCUCCAUCACACCAAUGUAGAAAGCUCCCAGUGGCUCUGGAGUGCAUAUUUCCAUUAAGGAUUCAGCAGGCUAGCCACAGUCUUCAUUAUUUCCUAAAUCAAAGUUAUUCAGACUUCCAAUUUUCCUUUACAAUUUUUUUUUUUUUUUAACAAACUGUUUUUAAGGCACACUGUUGGUCAAAACCUCUGACUAGUUGGAGUAAGAGGUAAGAUUGUUGAUCCUGUCUUCCAACAGCUGCUUCUGUACUUGGAGACACUCCCUAGCUGGUUAUGACUUUUUUCUCCACUAAUGUCACUAAUGUGUCAUUGACUGGGGUAGGCAGCCAAAGACUUUCUUGAGAUUUUUUUUUUUUUUUUUUUACUAAAGGCUGUGCUCAGAAAAAUCAAUAUUACAGAAAAAAGCAACCUAUCAACAUUUCACUUUACAUAGAGAGGAGUUUCCAUUUGCUUUAUUUUAUUAUGUAUCCCAGCCACAGAAGGAUGAACAGUGAAAUCAGGUGGAUUACCUGCAGCCAUGGAACUCUGUCAAUAAUUUAGUAUAUUUUUCAGAUUGCGUUAUUUCUGCUCUUGUUUUGGUUCUUUAAUCAAGAAGAAAGAUUUACAACUGGUUGUAAUGACCCACUCAAAGGUGUUUGUAAAUAAAGUAUGAACCACAAA